GAGUUCUACAGCAGCUCAUAUUCUAAAAUUGGAAUGAUAAAAAGAAGAUUAGCAUGAACUCUGAACAAAGAUGACUGGCAAAAUCUUCAGUAACAGCCUUACCUA